rnacentral:tRNA from 2 species
GGCGAGGUGGCCGAGCGGUUUAAGGCGGCUGCCCCGAAAGCAGUUAAGCGUGGUUACGCUUCCAGGGUUCGAAUCCCUGCCUCGCCGCCA